rnacentral:rRNA from 1 species
AGAGUUUGAUCCUGGCUCAGGACGAACGCUGGCGGCACGCUUAACACAUGCAAGUCGAACGAGAGAAGAGGAGCUUGCUUUUCUGAUCUAGUGGCGGACGGGUGAGUAACACGUGAGCAAUCUGCCUUUCAGAGGGGGAUACCGAUUGGAAACGAUCGUUAAUACCGCAUAACAUAAUUGAACCGCAUGAUUUGAUUAUCAAAGAUUUAUCGCUGAAAGAUGAGCUCGCGUCUGAUUAGCUAGUUGGUAAGGUAACGGCUUACCAAGGCGACGAUCAGUAGCCGGACUGAGAGGUUGAUCGGCCACAUUGGGACUGAGACACGGCCCAGACUCCUACGGGAGGCAGCAGUGGGGAAUAUUGCACAAUGGAGGAAACUCUGAUGCAGCGAUGCCGCGUGAGGGAAGAAGGUUUUAGGAUUGUAAACCUCUGUCUUCAGGGACGAAAAAAGACGGUACCUGAGGAGGAAGCUCCGGCUAACUACGUGCCAGCAGCCGCGGUAAUACGUAGGGAGCGAGCGUUGUCCGGAAUUACUGGGUGUAAAGGGAGCGUAGGCGGGAUCGCAAGUCAGAUGUGAAAACUAUGGGCUUAACCCAUAAACUGCAUUUGAAACUGUGGUUCUUGAGUGAAGUAGAGGUAAGCGGAAUUCCUAGUGUAGCGGUGAAAUGCGUAGAUAUUAGGAGGAACAUCAGUGGCGAAGGCGGCUUACUGGGCUUUAACUGACGCUGAGGCUCGAAAGCGUGGGGAGCAAACAGGAUUAGAUACCCUGGUAGUCCACGCCGUAAACGAUGAUUACUAGGUGUGGGGGGACUGACCCCUUCCGUGCCGCAGCAAACGCAAUAAGUAAUCCACCUGGGGAGUACGACCGCAAGGUUGAAACUCAAAGGAAUUGACGGGGGCCCGCACAAGCAGUGGAGUAUGUGGAUUAAUUCGAAGCAACGCGAAGAACCUUACCAGGUCUUGACAUCGUAUGCAUAGCUCAGAGAUGAGUGAAAUCUCUUCGGAGACAUAUAGACAGGUGGUGCAUGGUUGUCGUCAGCUCGUGUCGUGAGAUGUUGGGUUAAGUCCCGCAACGAGCGCAACCCUUACUGUUAGUUGCUACGCAAGAGCACUCUAGCAGGACUGCCGUUGACAAAACGGAGGAAGGUGGGGAUGACGUCAAAUCAUCAUGCCCCUUAUGACCUGGGCCUCACACGUACUACAAUGGCUGUCAACAGAGGGAAGCAAAGCCGCGAGGUGGAGCGAACCCCUAAAAGCAGUCUUAGUUCGGAUUGUAGGCUGCAACCCGCCUACAUGAAGUCGGAAUUGCUAGUAAUCGCAGAUCAGCAUGCUGCGGUGAAUACGUU